ACAACGGAGAGUUUGAUCCUGGCUCAGAACGAACGUUGGCGGCGUGGAUUAGGCAUGCAAGUCGAACGAGAAAGCACCCUUCGGGGUGUGAGUAGAGUGGCGAACGGGUGAGUAACGCGUGGGGAACCUGCCCUUGAGUGGGGGAUAACGUUUCUAACGAGACGCUAAUACCGCAUAACACAGGCACCGGGCAUCCGGAGCCUGUCAAAGGUGGCCUCUGUUUCAAGCUGUCGCUUGAGGAUGGCCCCGCGUCCGAUUAGCUAGAUGGUGGGGUAACGGCCUA
rnacentral:rRNA from 1 species